rnacentral:rRNA from 1 species
UACGUAGGGUGCAAGCGUUAAUCGGAAUUACUGGGCGUAAAGCGUGCGCAGGCGGUUUUGUAAGUCUGUCGUGAAAGCCCCGGGCUCAACCUGGGAAUUGCGAUGGAGACUGCAAGGCUUGAAUCUGGCAGAGGGGGGUAGAAUUCCACGUGUAGCAGUGAAAUGCGUAGAGAUGUGGAGGAACACCGAUGGCGAAGGCAGCCCCCUGGGUCAAUAUUGACGCUCAGGCACGAAAGCGUGGGGAGCAAACAGG